GUGAUUAGUGACAGAGUGAGGGAGGGGGUGACACAGUGACAGAGUUAGGGAGGGAUUGACUAGUGACAGAGAGGGAUGGGGUGACUAGUGACAGUCACCCCCCCCUCACUCUGUCACCAGUCAUCCCCUCACUCUGUCACUAGUCACCCCUUCCCUCCCUCACUUUGCCACUAGUCAUCUCUUCCCUCCCUCACUCUGCCACUAGUCUCCCCCUCUCCUUCCCUCUGUCACUAGUCAC